UCACUUUGGUAGUACAUUUACUAAAACUGGGACGAUACAGAGAAUCUUAGGAUGGUCCCUGUGCAGGGAUGACAUGCAGACUCAUGAAGCAGUCUGUGUAUUU